rnacentral:rRNA from 1 species
UACAGAAGUCCCAAGCGUUGUUCGGAUUCACUGGGCGUAAAGGGUGCGUAGGUGGCCAGGUAAGUUCGGUGUGAAAGCUCGGAGCUUAACUCCGAAAUGUCAUUGAAUACUAUCUGGCUGGAGGGUCGGAGGGGAGACUGGAAUUCUCGGUGUAGCAGUGAAAUGCGUAGAUAUCGAGAGGAACACCGGUGGCGAAGGCGGGUCUCUGGGCCGAUACUGACGCUGAGGAGCGAAAAGCGUGGGGGAGCGAACAGG